rnacentral:lncRNA from 1 species
ACUUCCCUCUGGACACCUCCUGUACCCAAAGGGGCAGGGAGCAUGACCACCUGACAUACAGUCUGUUCCACAUGUUUGGUUGUGGUCUCCCAAAUCUCCAUCUUCUUGAUGUGGCAAGAUUGAAAGUGGUACUGGAAGUAGUGAUAUUUUUCAACAACUCCUGAAGGCUCAGUUGAAAGCUUGAUUCUCCAGUCCUUUCAGUUAUGUUGCCCUCAAGAGACUGGAUGAGGCUCACUCACCAUGGAGAAGGCAACCUGCUUUAUUCAGUCCACCAAUCCAAAUGUUUGUCUCAUCCAGAAGCUACCCUUACAGACACACCCAAAAUAAUGUUUAACCAACUAUCUGGGUAUCUCAUGGUCCAUUCAAGUUGACAGAUAAAAUUAACCAUCACACUAUAUCAUUAAAUUAAAUGUGCAUUUAUUUAAAGAAAACCAAGUGUUUGACACCAUGUAAUUGACUUUAUAUAACCUUAAUUUGAACUCAGAAGGACUUCCUGAUAAUGCAAGAAAAUAGAAAUCUAUUUAUUAGUGACUGGUUCUAUCUAUAAGUCCAAGCUACGGAGAAAAUUUAAAAAAUAAAGAAGCU